rnacentral:tRNA from 1 species
GGGGUUGUGGCUCAGUGGUAAAGCACUCGCCUAGCAUGUGUGAGACCCUGGGUUUGAUCCUCAGCACUACA